rnacentral:rRNA from 1 species
AGGACGAACGCUGGCGGCGUGCUUAACACAUGCAAGUCGAGCGGUAAGGCCUUUCGGGGUACACGAGCGGCGAACGGGUGAGUAACACGUGGGUGAUCUGCCCUGCACUCUGGGAUAAGCCUGGGAAACUGGGUCUAAUACCGGAUAUGACCUGCUCUCGCAUGGGGGGUGGUGGAAAGAUUUAUCGGUGCAGGAUGGGCCCGCGGCCUAUCAGCUUGUUGGUGGGUAAUGGCCUACCGAAGGCGACGACGGGUAGCCGACCUGAGAGGGUGACCGGCCACACGUGGGACUGACGACACGGCCCAGACCUCCGUACGGGAGCAGCAGGUGGGAAU